CCUACGGGUGACAGCAGUGAGGAAUAUUGGUCAAUGGACGAGAGUCUGAACCAGCCAAGUAGCGUGAAGGAUGACUGCCCUAUGGGUUGUAAACUUCUUUUAUAUGGGGAUAAAACGUUCCACGUGUGGGAUUUUGUAUGUACCAUAUGAAUAAGGAUCGGCUAACUCCGUUCCAGCAGCCGCGGUAAUACGGAGGAUCCGAGCGUUAUCCGGAUUUAGUGGGUUUAACGGGAGCGGAGGUGGAUUGUUAAGUCAGUUGUGAAAGUUUGCGGCUCAACCGUAAAAUUGAAGUUGAAACUGGCAGUCUUGAGUACAGUAGAGGUGGGCGGAAUUCGUGGUGUAGCGGGGAAAUGCUUAGAUAUCACGAAGAACUCCGAUUGCGAAGGCAGUUCACUGGACUGCAACUGACACUGAGGCUCGAAAGUGUGGGUAUCAAACAGGAUUAGAUACCCGUGUAGUC
rnacentral:rRNA from 1 species